rnacentral:rRNA from 1 species
AAGCAAGAUGACCCUGCCGAAUUUAAUCAUAUAAUUAAGCGGACGAA